UUUUCAGACUCAGCCUGCCUGCACCCAGGUGAUUAAAAACUUUAUUGCUCACACAAAGCCUGUUUGGUGGUCUCUUCACAGGGACAUGCAUGAAAUUUGGUGCCGUGACUCAGAUCGGGGGACCUCCUUUGGGAGAUCAAUCCCCUGUCCUCCUGAUCUUUACUCCAUGAGAAAGAUCCACCUACAACCUCAAGUCCUCAGACUGACCAGCCCAAGAAACAUCUCACCAAUUUCAAAUCCGGACCCUACUGAAAAUCAGACUGUUCAACUCACCUGGCAGCCACUCCCAGAGCCCCUGGAACUCUGGCCCAAGGCUCUCUGACUGACUCCUUCCCAGAUCUUCUCAGCUUAGCAGCUGAAGACUGACACUGCCCAAUCGCCUCAGAAGCCUACAGGACCAUCACAGAUGCUCUAGGUAACUCUCACAGUGGAAGACUCAGCCCGCCUGCACCCAGGUGAAAUAAACAGCCAUGUUGCUCACACAAAGCCUGUUUGGUGGUCUCUUCACACGGAUGUGCAUGAAACUACCUACACCCAUACGGAAGGGAACAAAUCAUGAAAAGUAAUGGAAUGCUACAGCCUAGUCAGUUUUGAGAAAAGGCUAACCAACAACAACAACAACAAAUCAUAGUCAUGCUCAGAUUGCACAUGAACAAAAAAAUGUUGGAGAGAAACCAUUGAAAUAACUCACCGGUCCUCUUGUGUUGCUGCUUAUCUGAUUAUCUGAGGUC
rnacentral:lncRNA from 10 species